rnacentral:misc_RNA from 1 species
ACGUCCUCGUGAAGCAACCGGGGUUAUGACUCAUUCACUCCGACUUUUCCUGGUUCAGAAAGAACAUCAGGGAAUGUUUGUAUAGGGCCCAUCGACCGGAUGCAUCAUUAUCUAUCCCUUUAGGCUGAAGUUCCUCGUGAAACAACCGGGGUCGUGAUUAAUUCACCCGACCUCUGCCAAAGAACGUCAGAGAACCUUUGUACAUGGCCUCUCAACCCAUGCACAGUGAAGCUCUGAUACCAAAUUGAUGUGGACCCACCUAACUCCACCUCAAAAGCUAG